CUGAUCUACCAGUACAAAAGCUGGAAUAAACCCAUAAGACGAGAAGACCCUGCGGAGCUUUUAAGCCACACGCUACAUCAAGCCAAACCAAAUCUAAAAGAUUUAAAACAAGUUUUAUAGCGUCACACUUUAAGUUGGGGCAACUGCGGAGAACAAACAAAACCUCCAUGAAACAAGGCCAAAAGCCACCAUGAAACAGACAAGUAAAUUGGUAAACAAAUUGACCCAGCACUGCUGACUACCGAACCAAGUUACCCCAGGGAUAACAGCGCCAUCCCCCUCAAGAGUCCAUAUCGCCCGGGGGGCUUACGACCUCGAUGUUGGAUCAGGACACCCAGAUGGUGUAGCCGCUAUCAAUGGUUCGUUUGUUCAACGAUUAAUGUCCUACGUGAU
rnacentral:rRNA from 1 species